GUCAGUGUGGCAUAGUGGUUUGAGCACUGGACUACAACCUUGGAAACCGGGGUUCAAUUCCCUGCUUGAACA